rnacentral:rRNA from 1 species
UCCUACGGGAGGCAGCAGUAGGGAAUUUUCGGCAAUGGAGGAAACUCUGACCGAGCAACGCCGCGUGAAUGACGAAGUACUUCGGUAUGUAAAGUUCUUUUAUCAGGGAAGAAUGGGCAGUGGAAAACUGAUGACGUACUUGAGAUAGCCAGUCGUUC